UACUUAACACUCUCCAUCUGCUGUAGAUGUAUAAAAUAGACAUUAACAUAAGGAUUUAAAUUUUCUCAAUGU